CCAAACCUUUUAGCUGUAUACAUACAUACAGGAUAGCUGGAACAAGAAGCAUGGUCACGCCGCUGCGACAGUGCCCUCGGGUUCCUUCUCCUUCUUGGCCGCCUGGUCCUCCUUUUUAUCGUCAUCAUCCACGAGCUCCGCGACGAGGUCCUCUAGCACCACGGACUUGGGGUUGACCAUGGGCGGGCCCUUCUCCCUGCCCUCGAGCUCGUCGAGGUUGAAGGUGAUGAGCCUGUCCCAGUUGCCGCCCUCGAAGAGCACCGCGACCUUGCCGUCGGUGACGCGCUGCACGAUCCCGCAGUACAUGUGGUAGGCGUUGUUGGGGUUCUUCACCAGCACCACCAUGCCAGGCAGGAACAGCGGGAGCUCCGGCGGCCGCGGCGGCGCGGAGAUGCCGGCUUGGGUUUGGGACCCGGAUUUCUUGGAAGGAGGAGGAGGCGGCGGGUUCUUGGCGACGAAGUCCUUGAGGCCGACCUCGCCGCCGGGGAAGCCGCCGGUGAGGCCCAGGAGCUCCUUCUCGAAGGCGUCCAGGUCCACCGCUGGUGGGGCGGCCUCCGUCGGCGUGGACCCUGUGGAGGACUCGGGCGAGGAGACGGUGGUGGAAGGAGGAGGGGUGGAGGCGAGUUCCUUGCGGACGCCGACCUCGCCGUUGCAGAGGCCGCGGCCGCCGAGGAUUUCGGAGACGCGGAAGGAGGCGGAGGGAGGCCGGCAGAGCAGGCGCAGGUGAGGGCGGUGGGGUAGCGGUGGCGGGCGGAGGAAGGAGGGCGUGGUGGGCGGCGGCGCCAUUGGAGGAGUGGAGAGGAUCGCCCGCGAGCGGAGCAGAGCAAGGCAAGGGAGGGAAAGA
rnacentral:lncRNA from 1 species